ACUUCUCCCACAGUGCACACAGUGCCUAGGCAGUGUGGAAGGAGGUAGUGCUGAGUCUGUUGCUCCUGGGUGGCUGUGAAGUUCUGCUGUGUCUCAACACUUCUUUUGCACAAGGUUCUGAGCUCCAUCCCCUCAUGGUCCCUAUAUCCAAGGCUGCCCUGGACAUUCACCCCUUCGACUAGACCUGGUUAUAAGAUCCAGCAGCACCCCUCUGCUCGUUGGCUCUGAGUGUGGCUUGCAGCUGCGUGGGCUCAUCGAGUGUGACAGUCAUCCAACUAAAGAACGGGGCCGUAUAUGACAUGACAACUCCAUACAAAGGCAGCGCAUCGUGUGGCCAAGACCCUCCCUGACACCACCCACUCCAGGGCGUUGAGAAGCCUGAUCCUGCUCACCACAAGCCACCAGCAUCACUGUAGCACAUGCAGAUCCAGACUAAACAGCCCUUGAAGAAGAUAUUCUGAAGGAGUUUUCCCAUGACAAAUAUCUGUUGGGUUUUCCUUCUGAAGACAGAAGUACAUUUUACAAUGAAAACAUGAGUUCAUCGUUGGAGUCACCAUCAGAGAGUUCGUGCUGCCCAGGAGAAUGACCUGACUGUGCUGAGGCUGAGCAUCUCCUCCUGCCUUGCAGUAACGUGGAGCUCCUACACAGGUAUUUAAUAUUUUCAGCUGGAAAAGAUUCAAAAGAGGGUUACACUGCUAGAGGAUGUGAAGUCAGAUGCAAAGGAAGGAAAGACCUGGUGGUCUGCAUUUCUUUGCUGACAGAGACAUCUCUGAGCUGAUUGCUAUCUACAGCUCAUUUCAAUUUGCCCUUUGAAAGAGAUCAGAGAACAUUAUCAACUCCUUCUCAGCUGUUGUACUUCCUCUGAAGUCUGGAUGUAGCUGGUGGCCUCACUCUCUUCUCAGUCUUUUUGGGGUUUGUUUUUUUGACUGAUGCAUUGAUUUGGUCAUUUGAUGUCCUGUGGUAUCAGUGAGGCUGAAGGAACCCUUCUUCUUCCUGAAUGCUUCCUAAGAUUGUUUGACUUGGAUUAGAGGUUACUUUAUUUGCCUACUGAAA